CGGAAGAAAUAGAAGACCCAAGCCAACCCUCCCCACCUAUCCCCAUCGUCUUCCUGCUCCGACUCCAGGCCACGAGCUGCUCCCCGCCAAUGGCUCCGCCCCGCGCCUCCUCGCGGCUAUGCCGCCGGCGAUGUGCGCCGCCCCCGGCCGCGCGUCGCUUUCCUCCUCCCGGCAACGCGCCGCUCGCCUCCUCCCGCCCACAUGCCCCAGCGACUCCUCCCUGCUCCACUCCCGACGAGUCGCGCUGCCCCUGGUCACGUUGGGACAUGGGAUAGGUGGGGAGGGUUCGAGUUAAACUCCAUAGGGUGAUGGCAGCUCGCCGCCUUAAAUCCAGGAGGGGGCGACCUGGACCACGCGCACGUCCUCCAGGGGUACAUAAUCGUCCAAAUCUCGCGUUGUUUAUUUUGGGCUCGAUGGUUGCUGGUUUGAUUUGGGGUUGGCGUGUUUGAGGGCGCUCAACUUGGUCGGCGUCCAGUCCUGGCCGGCCUCAACUUCCAUCGUGCAGUCGCGGCCGUGCGGCCGUGACUGUUCCUCUGCUGUCAGUCUAUGAUGGCGGUCAGUCACGGGGGACAGCGCCUAGCUAUCUUUGGAUUGAUGGCGUGAACGUGGGCUCUACAGGAUACCGAGGAGCGCGAGGUUGCCCGUGCCUCCAGCCCCUUGCCGAGAAAACUGAUUGUGUGUGCAAGAGACAUACAGACUUUUCAAAAUCCAAAUACGUUUUCUCCCACUCCUCUUUUGGGAUUUGAUUAGUGCUAUGUUUCUGAAGCCUAGGAAGAGAUGGAGCAUUGCUGUUGAAGAUGGCGAAGGUGAGGAACAUGCACUGUAAUGAAGGAUGCUAACUUAUUGUCCUGAGGAGAGCUGCUGCUACCAUUGACCGGAAUGAAGACAAAGGAUCAAUUUAGGUGGUGAAUGGAAGACUUAAUUCGAGCAACCUGUAUAGAGCCAAAGAACAACGACAGUAAGAAGCAGAUUUCCUGUUCGUUUACAUGGGGCACUUCCUCGCUAGCCUUGAACAAGAUUUCAUCUGUUUUGUCAGACCAAAAGCUGUAGAAACUAGAAAGAACUCUGGUAAUCUGUCAAAGCUUACUUGGCCUGAAACUAUUUAUUUUCUCUUUAUCUUCGCAGGAUGAAGGAUUUAGCUUCUUCUUUGCCUUUUUAUUUUUUUCCAUGUAUCAUGUUACUUGUCAAAGCGAAGCAAUAAAAAAACUCCAGCAACAUACACUGAAAUUGUCACUUUAAGAAGGAACGGGCAGAACCCAUGGUGUGGCUUGGUGGGUGCGGACGUCAAAUUGACCAUUAAUUAACACCCAGCACCUCGAUCCAGAUUUCUUUCGUGGAAAAUUGAAAGCCUGUCAUGUGUACCUCUAAUGCAGAAAUAGGCAAGCACACGAGAAGAAUUGAUCAAACACGUUCUCAGCCUGACUGCCUGAGAUGAUUUUCACAUAUAUUUCUCUGGCAAAGUGCAGCUGGGAGCGGUGUAUAGGAUGUUCAGUGUUGCAUGUUCUGAUGCCAGAUAAUGUUCAGUUGAAAGAGAUGGCUAUUAGGUGCGUGCAAGUACAAGCGUGAAAUGAGUGUCAAUUUGUUAUUCGCCAAAGUGAUAUAGAAACGAAGAUCCUGUAACUGAAGUUGCAUCCUCAGUCCUACAUAAGACAUCCUUUUUCGCAGGAUAAAUGGUCACAACUUCUUCAUAUAUAUAGGCGGUGUCGCUGGCGGAAUGGCAAGAUGCCCAGUCUGAUGACCUAGGUCUGUGGCAAGUUGGUGGACCUCGACUACAGGAACAUCACGGAGGCAAUCGAUAGUAGGUAAUGCUCCCACUUGAUUUUCCAAAUGCAUGUGGCCACAUAUAGAGAGACAACAUGGAAUUGUAUUUCUUUGGGCGCUGUGAUGCAUGAUGAGUGGGCAACCAACAUUGUAUGCAAUGAAGCGGAACCUCAAGAAUAUGCUUUCUCUUCUGUUUUUUAACAUGUUCCUUUUUUGUUAUUUUGUAUUUAGUACGUACAGUAUGUUCUUUGUCCGGAAAGAGCGCGGGGACAUCUGCAGUCAACAGCUGAUAGAGAUGGCAUGUACGUGAUCGAUAGGCUUUCAAUUAGUAGCGGCAAUGCAACACCGUAUUUUCCAGCCAGUUCCACUUUCCCGAUUUAUAUAUCAUGGUUAUGGUGUACCCCUUUUAUGUAUACUAUGAUUUGCUUAGUUGCUGCGUGCUCUUGUUAUCAUGGUUUGGCAAUAAACUCUCUAUACAAUAUAUUAUGAACCUAUCA